UNUGACUUGAGUGCAGAAGGGGAGAGUGGAAUUCCAUGUGUAGCGGUGAAAUGCGUAGAUAUAUGGAGGANCACCAGUGGCGAAAGCGGCUCUCUGGUCUGUCACUGACGCUGAGGCUCGAAAGCGUGGGUAGCGAACAGGAUUAGAUACCCUGGUAGUCCACGCCGUAAACGAUGAGUGCUAGGUGUUAGGCCCUUUCCGGGGCUUAGUGCCGGAGCUAACGCAAUAAGCACUCCGCCUGGGGAGUACGACCGCAAGGUUGAAACUCAAAGGAAUUGACGGGGGCCCGCACAAGCGGUGGAGCAUGUGGUAUAAUUCGAAGCAACGCGAAGAACCUUACCAGGUCUUGACAUCCCGAUGCUAUUCUUAGAGAUAGGAAGUUACUUCGGUACAUCGGAGACAGGUGGUGCAUGGUUGUCGUCAGCUCGUGUCGUGAGAUGUUGGGUUAAGUCCCGCAACGAGCGCAACCCUUAUUGUUAGUUGCCAUCGUUAAGUUGGGCACUCUAGCGAGACUGCCGGUAAUAAACCGGAGGAAGGUGGGGAUGACGUCAAAUCAUCAUGCCCCUUAUGACCUGGGCUACACACGUGCUACAAUGGUCGGUACAACGAGUUGCGAGCCGGUGACGGCAAGCUAAUCUCUGAAAGCCGAUCUCAGUUCGGAUUGGAGGCUGCAACUCGCCUCCAUGAAGUCGGAAUCGCUAGUAAUCGCGGAUCAGCACGCCGCGGUGAAUACGUUCCCGGGCCUUGUACACACCGCCCGUCACACCACGAGAGUUUGUAACACCCGAAGUCGGU
rnacentral:rRNA from 1 species